UACGGAGGGUGCGAGCGUUGUCCGGAAUCACUGGGCGUAAAGGGCGCGUAGGCGGCGCGGGUAGUCAACGGUGAAAGCUUGGGGCUCAACCCCGAGUCGGCCGUCGAUACUCCCGCGCUCGAGCACUGUAGAGGCAGGUGGAAUUCCGGGUGUAGCGGUGGAAUGCGUAGAGAUCCGGAAGAACACCGGUGGCGAAGGCGGCCUGCUGGGCAGUAGCUGACGCUGAGGCGCGACA
rnacentral:rRNA from 1 species